UUAUAUUCAACAACUGUUAACUAUUUGACUCCAUUUAUUCUUGGUGAGUUUUUUAUGUCUGGGUUAGCCCCUUUGUGCGGAGGGUGGAGUGGGCAUUGAAGCUCAAGGGCAUAGCCUACAACUGCAUCGAGGAAACAUCCUCAACAAGAGCGCUCUGCUUCUAUGGGUCAACCCUGUUCACCAAAAAGUCCCUGUCCUCAUCCAUGGAGAGUCCAGAGUAGUCUGCGAGUCCAGGAGGAAUGAAGCCUGUUGACGCCUAAAAUUUCAUUUUAAUUAAUUAGGUUUUACUUUUUAUUUUAUCUUUUUUUCAGAUGAUAAAUAAACAAAAAAAAAAACAGAAAGAAGCAGAAAAGAAGAGAAGCAGCCUCCGCGUGGGCCCUCGGCCCAUCUCCGCCUCAGCCCAGCCCAGCCGGGUCUUCUUCUUCCUCGCGCAGUUGUAGCGCACGCGCAGGGGGCGCGACGCCGGAGCGGAGGGGAGGAGCAGCGACGAUGCACGUGGAGCAGGGGGCAGCUGGCGUCGGAUGGGACGCCGGUUCGGCCGGCGAAGGCCGUGGCAGCCAUCGGUCAAGCUCCGUCGACUGGCCACCCCUCGGCCUAUAAAUAGGCCCUCCAUCCCCGACGAAGAGGACACACACAGAGAUCAUAGGGAGAGAGAGAGAGAGGCCACUGGAGCUCGGGGUCCCCUGAGAGACUUCGGGGAGCUCGAGUGUAGGCCGGCCGUGGUGUGGUGAGCUCGGAGGGGUCCCCGAGAGACUUCGGGGAGCUCGAAGAGCGAACAAGAGAGAGAGAGAAGCUAGAGGAGAUUCGCGUGGGUCUCGCCAUCGUCGCCGCCCCCGUCGCGCCGUUGCCACGAACAGGUAUUGUGACGUCGCCGUCGCCAUCUCCCUCUCCGUCGUCCAAUCAUUGCCGCCGUCGCCGCCGUUGCCGCCGCCGUCGUCGCUACGCCUCAGUCCUCUUCCUCCUCGGCGCCGCGAUUCGGAAACCCUAGGGUUCCCGAUUUUCCAGGUCGCGUCCCCGGGUUGUCGGGUCGGACCCGGAUCGGGAACCGGGUAGGGAUUACGUAAAUCCCGGGGGCGGCAGAGGUCGGGUCGUGGGGUCGGAUCCGGGUCGGGUAGGGUUCCUCGCAGGAACCGGGUCAUCGCUGGAAUUCGGGCCGGAUCCGGGUGGAGUUUUGCCGGGUCGUCGGGUCGGGCUGGAUCCCUCCCAAAACGACGGGCCAUCGGGCCGUUUUGAUAAAUAAAAAAGAAAGAAAGGAAAAAAAAUUGAGUCAGGCCCGCGUUUGGGUCGUCGACCCGGGUCGGACCCAACCCGCAGAUCCGACCCAGGUCGGCUUUUUAUUAUUUUAUGUAAUAUUUUAAUUAAAAAAAGAAAAAUCAAAAAUAAUUUAUUUAAAAAAAAAUAUUAAAAAAUAUUUUAAUUCCAGAAAACCGAAAAAUGUUUUAAAAAUGUUAAAAAAUGUUCUAUUUUCCAAAACCGAAAAAUGUUUUAAAAAUGUUAAAAAAUGUUCUAUUUUCCAAAAAAAUAAAAAAUAUUUUAUUUUCCGAAAAAAUAAAAAAAUAAAAAAAUAUUUCAUAUUUUCCAAAAAAAUGCCAAAAAUCCAAAAAAAAGCCAAAAAUUCAUGAAAAAGCCAAAAAAAAUUCAGAAAAAGCCAAAAAGACUUGUAUUUUUCCAAAAAAUCCCUUUUGUGUCCAAAAAAUUAGAAAAUGACUCAAAAAAUGUUUUUCCUCCCAAAAAUGCAUGGAAAAUCCCUCGAACAUAAAAAAAACCUCAGGGUUUAAACAAGAUUAGGUACCGAAAGGGCAUUAGUGAUUAACUAAUGUAAUCAAGUCCCCGAUCCUAAUUUCUCUGGUUGCGCAGGAGUGAGUAUUUCUCCCGAUACUUCACUUGGGUUUCUAAUCAACCCACCCCAAAUUGAUUAGUGGCGACUCCAUUUUUAAAAUUGAUUUACAGGUUAAAAACUUGAACCAUUAAGUCGUGAAUUGGCGGACUUGGGAGAGUCCGGGCUUAAUAAUUUCAGCCGAGCCAUUAGCCUCCUUAGGCGCUCGUACCCGAUUGCGGGCGCCGAAAAAAAAGAGGUCGCGACAAAGCCCUAUGUCAAUUAUUGCACCUGCUCCUUGCUCGGUGCAGAGAAUAGUUUUGCUUGCCCUUGUUUUCCUUAUGAGUUGAGCUUUGGAUUUGUAUUUAAGAUUCAAGAGUUAAGUAUGGUUCGUAAUAAUGUGGUUUAGUGCGGUUUUUGAGUUACUCUACUCCUGUGUAUGAUUUCACUCUUAUCUUAGAUUGUUGGUUGUGCAAAUUGACAGUUGAAGCUCCCAUUGCAAAUGAG
rnacentral:lncRNA from 1 species